UGUGGGCGACAGAACACCGGAAGAGCGGAGAGUUCAGUGUGUUAGCAGUGAAGCUAUUCAGUUGAGUGUAACGGUGUGUUAGAGUUGCUCUUAUUUCUAAUAAACCCUGUUGAUGGUACUACAUCUGCGGUGUGUUGGCGUCAUUACAGUACUUACUUACAGUAUACCACUUUAAUAGGUAAUUACAUGAGUGAAAAGGUAAAUGUCCAAUAAAAUAUUUUUGACCCUUUCUGAAAGAACGGUAAAAAAAACAACAACAAAAAAACUGGCGUCUGUAGCUACCAGAAUUUUUUUUAUCGUUCUUUCAGAAAAACAGUAGAUUACCAUUCUUUCGAAAUAACGGUAAACUACUGGCAGAUAUUGACGGUAACCUACUGUCAGGAUUAAUUACGGUACAGCUACGGUGCAUUUAUAGUAAACUUCUGGCAUCUAUAGCUGCCAGUAUGUUACUGUAAAUUUACAGGAUUAUUUCUUAGAGUGUAUAGAGGUGAUUGAUCUACUGAGCUGCAUAGCUGCAAGAAAAUACCAAACCCUCUUAUUGUUACUGCGCAAAAAACACAAUUUAAAGUGCAGUAUUGCAUGAAGAGACACUGUGAACAUCACUAAGCAACAACUUCGUCACAGCCCCGGUUCGGGUGUAAAAGCAUAAAGUGCCCUCCCCACCUCUGUUCCCUUGCCCGCUCAAUGGCCAGUCAGAAUUUGAAGUAACAAAGGUUACCAUGGCGACUAGCAAGCAUUGGUUUCUCAGCUUUACAUAUGUGUGAUUUAUUUGCAAUGUGGACAAAGUGAAAUGGAUCUGCUGUGCUCUGACUAUUUGGUGAAAGUUUGGUGUUGAAUGAAUGACUGUCAGACUGGCAGCAGUGCUGAGGAAGCAGGAGAAGCUAAUAGUGCAGCUCUGCUCCCCCGGCCAACGCCGUCUUGUUCCGCUACUGCGUCACAUGUUUGCCUGAGGAGCAGGGGCAGCAGUAUGACGUCUUGUCUGGAGCUUAUUAUAACAAGGUAAGUUCUAUGUUAAAAUUGUCAUGUUUUUGACUAUUUUUUAUGGAGGCAUUAUUUUUCCGUUUACACAAGAGUAUCGAUUCAUAUACACAGUUUGCUUAGCGUACGUUUAUUUGUUUGGAUAUCACGGUAUAUACGACUAUUUAUUGUCUUAACCAAACAUUAAAACUGUCAGGAAAAUCUGGAGGCCAUUUGAGUUAACAUUAUUUAGCUGUGGAGGUCGUUUUCUUUCAGUUUUUGCCUGUAGACUGCUAAACGGGGGAGUGGCUGUGCUGGACCGUUGGCUUGAUCUAUGCCACAGGUGUCAAACUUCAGUCCUGGAGGGCCACUGUCCUGCAACAUGUAUUCAGGUGUGGUGCUACUGCACCACACCUUAAUACAAUAAUUAGGUGAUUAGCAGGACUCUGGAGAACUUAUCUACACAAUGAGGAGGCAAUUGAGCCAUUUGACUCUGGUAUUUUGUACCUGUGCCUUAUCUCAAAACUGCCAAAAUGUUUUUUCUUUGUUAGUGUGUCAUGUUGGUGACAAGCUUGUUAUGAUGACUUCAACACAUUUCUUCAGACAGUUUGGCACGACUUUUAAUGCCGUCCAAAAAUUCUUCUAUAAGUUGACUAAUUUCUUUAGUAAUUAUUUCUGACUUUUUUAUGCUUCAUCUUGUAAACCAGGUGGGCAGAGUAAUUUGAAUGAAUAUGAUGGUGACACACACAGGCUGGAAGUCUUCCUCCUUAAUGUUGGCGAAAACAAGAGCAGCACCAAAGACACUUCACCAUCAGUGAUCACAAGACCAUCCAUGGCCGCUUCCAAUGAAC